AGUUAAUGAACUUGUAUAAGUUUAUAUUUUGAAAAUAUAAAAAAGAGUCUAAAAUACUCUAUUAACUU
rnacentral:tRNA from 1 species